rnacentral:rRNA from 1 species
GGUCUAAUCUGCCCUAUGAGGAAUUAAAUGGCCGCGGUACUUUGACCGUGCAAAGGUAGCAUAAUAAUUAGUUUUUUAAUUGAAAGCUGGAAUGAAUGAUUGGACGAGAAAAUUACUGUCUCAAUUUAAUUUUAUUAGAAUUUUAUUUUUAAGUAAAAAAGCUUAAAUUAUAUUAAAAGACGAGAAGACCCUAUAGAGUUUUAUAUUUAAUUUAUUGUUAAUUUUUUAGUAUAUUUUUAUUAUUAUUAAAUUAAAUAUUUUAUUGGGGUGAUAGAAAAAUAUUAUAAACUUUUUUUUUAAAAAAAACAUUAAUUUAUGAUUUUAUGAUCCAUUAUUUAUGAUUAGAAGAAUUAGUUACCUUAGGGAUAACAGCGUAAUUUUUUUUUAGAGUUCUUAUCGAAAAAUAAGAUUGCGACCUCGAUGUUGGAUUAAAAUGAAUGUUUGGUGAAGAAGCUAAAUAAUUAGGUCUGUUCGACCUUUAAAAUUUUACA